AAGAUGCUCCCAGCCCUUCCUUUCUGCCUGCCCCAGGGACUUGGAGACACAAGGCCCAGGAGGAGGAGGAGGAGGAAAAUAAGUAUGAGCUGCCCCCCUGUGAGGCUCUACCCCUCAGUCUAGCCCCUGCUCACCUUCCUGGCACUGAGGAGGACUCCUUGUACCUGGAUCACUCUGGCCCCCUGGGUCCAUCAAAGCCAUCGCCACCCCUGCCUCAGCCCACCAUGCUGAAGGGAGCAGUGAGCCUGCCGGUGGCCGGGAAGCAGGGACCUAUCUUCGGGAGGCGAGAGCAGGGUGCAUCAUCCAGAGUGGAGCCAGGCCCUCCAAAGAAACCUGAUGAGGAUCUUUACUUGGAAUGUGAGCCCAAUCCAGUCCUGGCUUUGACUCAGACUCUCAGCUUCCAAGUCCUGAUGCCCUCAGGCCCUCUGCCCAGGACAUCAAUGGUGCCCGGGCCUACCACAGCCCCCCAGGAAACUCAGAAUCAGGAAGGAAAUCAUCUCUUCCCUCUGUAGCCCCCACUGGGAGCGCCUCAGCUGCUGAGGAUGGUGAUCUGCUGGCUCAGCCUUGGUACUCGGGGAACUGUGACCGCCAUGCUGUUGAGAGUGCCCUGCUCCACUUACAAAAGGAUGGGGCCUAUACCGUGCGCCCCAGCUCAGGGCCUCAUGGCUCCCAGCCCUUCACCCUGGCAGUGCUUCUCCGAGGCCGGGUCUUCAACAUUCCCAUCCGGCGGCUGGAUGGCGGAUGCCACUAUGCCCUGGGCCGGGAGGGCAGGAACCCUCUUCUGCUCCGUGGCCGCCAUGGUCCAGCACUUCACACAGCACCCUCUGCCCCUUGUGGACAGACACAGUGGCAGCCGUGAACUCACCUGCCUGCUCUUCCCUGCCAAGCCUUGAGGCCACAGCGAAGAAUGCAGGUGUCCCCCAGUUUACUAGGUCCUGGAUGAAGGAACCGUGGUGGCCUAGACCAGUCAGGGGACAGCACAGGCACUG
rnacentral:sRNA from 1 species